GGCUGGGCCAGCUCGUCGAGGCGGCGCCGCUGGUCUCCUGGACCGGCAGGUUCGGGGGCCGCGGCCCGGAGGAGAUCGUGGCCCUGCCGGUCGCC
rnacentral:tRNA from 1 species